rnacentral:lncRNA from 1 species
GCAAACAUUGCAUAUGAACCACCAGGACCAUAGAACAUCUUGAAGGUAGAGACAUCGUAGAUCUUUCCUUUGAUAGCCAUCAACAACGGUUUUUCUGAGUCAGAGCCAUAAUAAGCUCUAAGUUCUUCUUCCGUUAUGUCGUCGAGGUGAAGAGAUUGUCUUUUGAUGGGAACAAAGUCAUCAGCAGAGAAAAACAUGCCACAAACAACUUUGUAAGUCACAACCAUCAAUGCUACUAUUGACACCUAAUUUUUGCCCUCUACGACUAAAUUUAAUCCUGAGUUUCUUCAGUUUUUAAUAAACCAAAAUAAUUAUUUCAUCCAAAUAAAAAAAAACUUAAAAUAUUUUUCGUACGUGAUUUUGUCAUUUUAAGUAGCGAUUAUAUACUAUCGUGUUUAGUUAUACGAGAUUAUAUAAUUUGUUACUUAAAUAUUUAUUUUACAAAAUAUCGGAUUUAAUUAAGGCUUAUCUUGAAAAUAAAUUCAAAUGAUUAAAAUCUUAAUUUAAAUGUAAUUUAUUCUCAAAAAUAAUUUAUUUGGAUAAAUAUGCAUUCAUUUUAUUAAAUCAAGAAGUUCGGGAUAAAAAAAAAGGCAUUAAUUCGUAUUGAAUUUUAAUUUAAUUUAGCCAAUCUAUUAGAUUUGACCAUAAUUGAAAAUUGGUCAUAAUUGCAUUGCAAUUCGUCAAUUAAUUUUUAAUUUGGUCAAAAUAAAUAAAUAUGGCUAAAUUUUAAAUUCCAAUUGGAGUUAUAUUUUAAAGAACCCCAAAAUUUUCAAGAACUCUCAUAACUUUUACCCAAUUCCCACCAAAAAAUAAAUUUCAGUUGUACUAUUCCCCCCAACUUUGUCUUUUUUCAAUUUUGAAAUUUAAAGAUUGUACUACAUUGUACUAUUUCCCCCACAUUAUCUUCCACCUCACCUUAUCUUUAAUUUUUACAUUCCAAAAACCCCCCUAAAUUUUUUUUCUUUCACAUUGGUGGAUGACAAGAAAUAAAUCUUUAUCAUUUCCUAUAAAUACUUUUCUCCCAUAUUGGUGGAAAAGUGAAAAAUAUACCUCAUUCUCUCCUAUAAAUACUACCACUACUUUGGUAGAGAGAGGAUGAGAGAAGGAAGAAAAAAAGGGCUAGAAAGGUAAAAAAAUCCUUUUGAACAAAAAUAGUUAUUUUUAUUUAGUAAAAAUUUUUGUUUCAUAAAGUUGAUCGGCUAAUCAAAAUUUUUGAGUUGCCGGCGACGUUUUUCGGUGGUGGUUGAUUCCAACGAAACUCGUAGUCUCGUUUGCUGCCCCCAAAAGGUAAACACACCUUCUUUUAUCUUUUUUUUUUUAAAAUUAUUUUAGUUUUUAUUAUCGUUUUUCUCUUCAUCUUUUUUCUUCUUCGUAGUUCGUAGAUAUAAUUUUAUUUGUUGGGAUUGUAUAUUAUAGAUGGCCUUGAAGGCCCUAGAACGUUGUGGUAUCGAUAUUCUAAUUAUUUUCAUGUUAAUGAUAUAAAAAUGAGCUAGCAAUAGUUGUAUGUGCCUUUUUUGACUUUAUUCUUUGAUUAUUUUGGUAAAGUUUCAAGCUUUACUUAAAAGAUGUAUUUAUGUUUUUUUUAAAACUCAUUAUUGUUGGAUACAUUUAUUUUUGGUAUGUAAAGUUAUUUUCUUUAUGUUUAGAAGAAUAGUUAAUGUUGAAUGUUUUGUCUUUUCACCUUAUUCUUUGAUCAUUUGAAUAAAGUUUAGAUCUUUAUUUGAAAAACGAUACUCAUGUCUUAUUUAAACUUAUUGUUGAUAGAUAUAUUUGUUUUUAGCAUGUAAAGUUAUUUUCUUUAUGUCGAAAAGAAUAGAUAAUAUUGAUUGUUUCUCUUUUUUUACUUUAUUCUUUGAUUAUUUUGGAUAAAGUUUAGAUCUUUACUUGAAAAACAAUACCCAUGUCUUGUUUAAACUUAUUGUUGGUAGAUAUGUUUUUUUUAGCAUGUAAAGUUGUUUAUUUUAUGUUGGAAGAAUAGUUAUUAUUAUUUGUUGCGCCUUAAUAAAAAUAGUAAUUAGUUAAGUCAAGAAUUUGUCAUUUGCUUACUAAUUAUUUUAAUGGAUUUCAAAACCCUCAUAUAAGAUAUGAAGUGCUAGCUUUAUUUUUCAUCUAAGAUGUUUAUUAUUCUUUGUUCGCAUGUUGUCUUUUCAAAAUGAUAAGAAAGUUCGAAUUUUUGCGGCUAAACAAAAUUAUUUGGAUAUUUUUGACUCAUGCAUAGUAUAAUUGUGAAACUUUUGCUUUGCAUUUUUUAUUUGUUGACUCUCAUUCUUGUGCAAGUGUGCUUAUUCUUGUCAUUCAAAAAUUGGUUCUUGAUAGUUUCUUUUACUUUGAAAUACGUCACUUUUAUGCCUUGAACAUAUAUUAAUUUCUUUAUCUUUUUUUUGCAUGCAAAAAAAUAUAUCUCGAGUCAAAAUAGACUCCUCUCCUCCUGCAUUUCGUAAUGGGUAAAUGAGGCUCACCCCUUCGAGUCAAGUUCGAAGUUUAAACCCAAGGUCCACUACAUGGCGUGCGGGUGCUAGAAGAUAGUCAAAGAAGGAAAAUGAGUCAAAACUCAUUGAUGAGGUCACUAAAAGACUUGAAAAAUCUCAAUUUUUAUUAUUGUCUUCUUUUUAUUUAUUCAUUUAGUUAUUUAUUUAUUCAUUCAUUUCGGCCUCGAAGCCAAAGUUGUAUUUAAUACAAGUGGAGCAAGACUCGAGCCAAAGGCUUGAAAAAUAGUUUAGGACAGGUGAAAUGGGUUGGAAGCCCAACUAGACUAGGACAGGUCUCGUUGAUUUGGGCCUUAUGGCUUAAAUCAUUUACUUUCUUCUCUCAUCCCCUUUUAUGUGUUUAUUUAUUUAUUUAAUUUGUGUAGACUUAGUUAAAAUCCCUAUUAAGUUGCCUAAAAUUGUUUUACACAAAUCCUUUCUAAAAACCAAUCACUUUUCAACAAAUUAAUCUUUUAGAAGUUAAUCAAAGACGAUUUUCAAACAGUCCGGACAACCGCAAGUUAUCGGACGUUUUAGGUGUCUAACACCUUCCUAAAACGUUAAUAAGAACCGCUUACUCAGAAUCUCUUAACUUAAAUGAUUUUUCUGCUUUGGAUCGUUUGAAGUAACUCUCUAAAGGUUUCUUAAUUCCUUUUCAAAAUUAAGUGGCGACUCUUUUUCAAAAGUCAAAAUUUCUUCGCAAAACAGCUAUAAUGGUGAAGAACGUUGUCGGCCAUAACCCCGUGUACUGCAAGAUAAUCUCUGUCAUUGUCGUCCAUACCGCCGUCGUCAUUCUUCUCUUUUUAGUUUGGUGGAGAAAGAGGAAAAAUUGAGUUGAAAUGCCUACCAAAAAAUGAGUUGGAAUGCCUAUCAGCUCUGAGCUGCAAUACACUCCUAUACUUACUACUACAUUACAACCAAACAAAUAUUUUUCCAAUAUCAAACAAAUUAAAUCAGCUAACAAUAUUAUUACUACAUCAAGCAAAAGUCAAAUAUUUUUCUAGUUACUAAUGAUAUUUAAUAUAGUAAAUGACCUACCAAAGUAAUACAAUUCAAAUUAACAUUUUAACACACAAAAUAAUAUAAUUCCAAGAUAUCAAAGACCCCCCACAUAAAAGAGCAGCAAAAAUCUGCAGUCAUGGGUGGCUGUCUUUCUGUAGUCCAUGUUUUUCAACAAUUCUACUCUCCUGCAACAUAUCUGCUUUAAAUGCUUCAGCACUUGUCCUAUCCCAAACACUUUCUUCUUCUGCUUUAUUCUCAGUUGGUGUUUUCUUUGGAACAAGUUGUCCCACCCAGGUGUACUUGUCCAUAAAUUUAUAUUUCCAGUCUUGCAGAAUUUCAAGUUAAGCGUCACUAAGGCCUUCGAGGCUCCCAUUAAAAUCUUCAGGUUUGAAUGAUAACUGAGCUAAUGCUCAGCUUGCAUCUCUUCUAACAAACAUUGAAUAUGAACCACCAGGACCAUAGAACAUCUUGGAGGUAGAUACAGUGUAGAUCUUUCCUUUGAUAGCCAUCGAAAAUGGUUUUUCUGAGUCAGAGCCAUUAUAAGCUCUAAGUUCCUCUUUCGUCAUGUCACCAAGGUUGAGAGACUGUCUUUUGAUAGGAACAAAGUCAUCACUAGAGAAGAACAUGCCACAAACAACUUUGUAAGUCACAACCAUCAACGCUACGAUGGUGAAGAACGUUGUCGACCAUAACCCCGUGUACUGUAAAAUGAUCUCUGCCGUUGUCGUCCAUACCGCCGUUGUCAUUCUUCUCUUUUUAGUUUGGUGGAGAAAGAGGAAAAAUAAGUUGGAAUGCCUACCAACUUUUGAGCUACAAUGCACUCCUAUACUUACUACUACACUACAACCCAAAUACUUUUCCAAUAUCAAACUAGUUCAAUCAGCUAACAAUACUAUUACUACAUCAAGCAAAAAUCAAAUUUUUUUCUAGUUACUAAUGAUGUUUCAUAGAGUAAAGUAAUACAAUUCAAAUUAACAUUCUAACACUCAAAAUAGUAUAAUUCCAAGAUAUCAAAGACCCCCCCACAUAAAAGAGCAGCAAGAAUUUGCAGUCAUGGAUGACUGUCUUUCUGUAGUCCAUGUUGUUCAACAAUUUUAAUCUCUUGCAGCAUAUCUGCUUUUGAUGCCUUUAGCACUUGUCGUAUCCCAAAACUUUCUUCUUCUGUUUUAUUCUCAGUUGGUGUUUUCUUGAGAACAAGUUAUCCCACCCGAGCGAACUUGUCCAUAAAUUUAUAUUCCCAGUCUUGCAGAAUUUUAAGUUGAGCGUCACUAAGGCCUUCAAGGCUCCCAUUAAAAUCUUCAAGUUUGAAUGAUAACUGAGCUAAGGCUCGGCUUGCAUCUCUUCCAGCAAGCAUUGCAUAUGAACCACCAGGACUAUAGAACAUCUUGGAGGUAGAGACAUCGUAGAUCUUUUCUUUGAUAGCCAUCAACAAUGGUUUUUCUGAGUCAGAGCCAUUAUAAGCUCUAAGUUCCUCUUCCGGCAUGUCACCGAGGUGGAGAGACUAUCUUUUGAUGGGAACAAAGUCAUCAGCAGAGAAGAACAUGCCACAAACAACUUUGUAAGUCACAACCAUCAACGCUACAGUGGUGAAGAACGUUGUCGGCCAUAACCCCGUGUACUGCAAGAUAAUCUCUGUCAUUGUCGUCCAUACCGCCGUCGUCAUUCUUCUCUUUUUAGCUUGAUGGAGAAAGAGGAAAAAAUAAGUUGAAAUGUCUAUCAAAUUUUGAGCUGCAAUGCACUCCUAUACUUACUACUAUAAUUAGCUAACAAUACUAUUACUACAUCAAGCAAAAAUCAAAUCUUUUUCUAGUUACAAAUGAUGUUUCAUAUAGUAAAUGACCUACCAUAGUAAAACAAUUCAAAUUCACAUUUUAACACACAAAAUAGUAUUAUUUCAAGAUAUCAAAGACUCACCACAUAAAAGAGCAGCAAGAAUUUGCAGUCUACUCUCCUGCAGCAUAUCUACUUUUGAUGCUUUCAGCACUUGUCCUAUCCCAAACACUUUCUUCUUCUGUUUUAUUCUCAAUUAGUGUUUUCUUUAAAAAAAGUUGUCCCACCCAGGCGUACUUGUUCAUAAAUUUAUAUUCCCAGUCUUGCAGAAUUUCAAGUUGAGCGUCACUAAGGCCAUCAAGGCUCCCAUUAAAAUAUUCAGGUUUGAAUGACAACUGAGCCAAGGCUCGACUUGCAUCUCUUCCAACAAACAUUGCAUAUGAACCACCAGGACCAUAGAACAUCUUAGAGGUAGAGACAUCGUAGAUCUUUCCUUUGAUAGCCAUCAACAAUGGUUUUCUGACUAAGAGCCAUUAUAAGCUCUAAGUUCCUCUUCCGUCAUGUCACCGAGGUGGAGAGGUUAUCUUUUGAUGGGAACAAAGUCAUCAGCAGAGAAGAACAUGCCACAAACAACUUUGUAAGUCACAACCAUCAACGCUACAGUAGUGAAGAACGUUGUUGGCCAUAACCCCGUGUACUGUAAGAUGAUAUCUGUCAUUGUCGUCCAUACCGCCGCCGUCAUUCUUCUCCUUUUAGUUUGGUGGAGAAAGAGGAAAAAAUGAGUUGGAAUGCCUACCAACUCUUGAGCUGCAAUGCACUCCUAUACUUACUACUACACUACAACCAAUCAAAUACUUUUCCAAUAGCAAACUAGUUGAAUCAGCUAACAAUACUAUUACUACAUCAAGCAAAAAUCAAAUCUUUCUCUAGUUACUAAUGAUGUUUCAUAUAGUAAAUGACUUACCAAAGUAAUACAAUUCAAAUUAACAUUUUAACACACAAAAUAAUAUAAUUCCAAGAUAUCAAAGACCCUCCACAUAAAAGAGCAGCAAAAAUCUGCAGUCAUGGGUGGCUGUCUUUCUGUAGUCCAUGUUCUUCAACAAUUCUACUCUCCUGCAACAUAUCUGCUUUAGAUUCCUUCAGCACUUGUCCUAUCCCAAACACUUUCUUCUUCUGUUUUAUUCUCAGUUGGUGUUUUCUUUGGAACGAGUUGUCCCACCCAACCAUACUUAUCCAUAAAUUUAUAUUUCCAGUCUUGCAGAAUUUCAAGUUAAGCGUCACUAAGGCCUUCGAGGCUCCCAUUAAAAUCUUCAGGUUUGAAUAUAACUGAGUUAAGGCUCAGCUUACAUCUCUUCUAACAAACAUUGCAUAUGAACCACCAGUACCAUAGAACAUCUUGGAGGUAGAGACAUCGUAGAUCUUUCCUUUGAUAGCCAUCAAAAAUGGUUUUUCUGAGUCAAAGCCAUUAUAAGCUCUAAGUUCCUCUUUCGUCAUGUCACCAAGGUUGGGAGACUGUCUUUUGAUGGGAACAAAGUCAUCACCAGAGAAGAACAUGCCACAAACAACUUUGUAAGUCACAACCAUGCUACGAUGGUGAAGAACGCUGUCGACCAUAACCUCGUGUACUGCAAAAUGAUCUCUGCCGUUGUCGUCCAUACCGCCGUCGUCAUUCUUCUCUUUUUAGUUUGGUGGAGAAAGAUGAAAAAUGAGUUGGAAUGCCUACCAACUAAGUUUUGAAAACACUUUUAAAAAACAUUUUUUUUUGAGUCUAUCCAAACGAGCUCUAUAUCCUGAAAUAUAAAUAAUCAUUGUAAAUUUACUUUAUGCCUUAGUAUUCCAAAAUUCAGAAGCUUCAACCAUAAAUCGCACCCCAUACAGUCGGUAGAGUUUACAAAAAUGUCAGUUGCUAUCAACUUAAAAUUAUGAAAAUCGAAUUAACCUGAGAAAUUAGACUUUUAAAUCGAAGUCCAUGUUUAUAUCCUGAUAUAUUGCUUCUAGCCCCAUAAUGUUUUAUCCAGAGUUGAUUCCUAUCAUUAUUAUUUAGUGUUCUUUUUGGCCAUUCUACGUGCCAAUACAUUCCACAUAUUAAUCGUGAUCGUCCUUGAGCAACUAUAUCACCUCAUUUUACUUAUUGACCAUCCUUGAGCGACUAUAUCAUCUGCUAAUGUAAGUUCGAAGACACAUUCUCGCACUCCAGUGAAGCACUAGAAAUGUGCAAAUACCAUCCGAAUUGGUGAGCCUAUCAAUGAUGAUGUUUAGUUACUUACAGUCAAAAUAUUGCCAAGGUCUUGUCACGACUUAGACAAAUCUUAUUUUGCUAGAAACUUCGUAGACUGGAUUUUAAAAAAUAUUUGUUAUAAUGUUUUAUUCAAAGUGAGAAUUCUAUUUCAUUUAGUUUAAAAGACUUUCCUUGAUUUUCAUUGUACUUCCACACUUGAAGUCAGAUUACACCUUCCUGAUCCGACAUGCCCAUUGCGGUCAGAACCUCAGCUCGAAUCCUGACACCUAUCAAGUUUACAUAAAAACCAACCAUUUGUGCAAAGGACAGACUAUAUAAAAUUGAAAGUAAUUAUCUUUUUCAUGUGUAUACUAAUAAAUGUUGUAUUGUCCUAACUUUUGUGUGCAGACAUACAAGAUAACUUUUGGUCUCAUAUGUCCCAAGUGAAAUUAAACAUGGUAAGAAGUUUAGAUUGCAAGUUCAAGACCCAUCAAUUUACAAAAAGCUAAACAUAAUCAUGUUAAAGAUGAUGGCAACUUGUCAAACUCCAGAAUCAAUACACAUCCAACCCAACAUUGUAGAAUUUGUGAUCCUUCAAUUAUUAUUCAUGCAAACACAACUUCAUAAAUUAAAUUAGUAAGAGAGUAUGUAUCAUUGUUUACUGAACCGUUCCAUCAUGAGGGGUCAAGUGGUUCACCCAAUAACAAUGCAAUUAUAAUAUCCCUGAAGUUUACGAGAGAUCCAUUCACAAAUUAAGGCAAUAGAUCCCUGCUUUUUUCAUCAGGUUUUGUAAAUCUAUAUCAAAAAAAAAAAAAGAACUAGUACUACAUUGAGAAUACGAAGCUCAGAAGCUGAGCGUAACAAGCAAAUUUCAUCGAAGAUCCAAGCUUUAAAUAGAUCUCCUUACAUGUUGGCACCUCAUCACCGCAAAACAAUUUGAUAGUUAAAACAAUUUGGCUACUUUAAAUUUGAAGGAAUGUUGGGGGUAAACAACAACAUCCUCCAAUCGUGAUAAGUAGCAACGUAUAGGCACCGUGCAAAAGGUAAUUUCUUACGGGAAUAAGAAGAAAGUACCUGUUGUCUGAGAAAUGCCAUAUACAAAAUAGAGCAACAAAUACAAAUAUAUCCAAGAUAUUGUGUCAAGAGAGUAUACAAUAACUCAAAUGGAUCUUCAUAUUGUAUAUUAAUUCAUUUAGGCUUCAUGCUGCAGACGGGUUACCAUUAACCGGCACCGGCUGCAGACUCUUUUUUGAAGCCCAGUCAUUAAAGGAUUUCACAAUGCAGAUCUUUUUAAACAAUUUUUCUCACAAUAAUGUUUACUUUGAAGAACAAAAUGACACUAAGUGAACCAAUCAAAAACUACUGAGUUUUGUAUUUACUCUAAUAAAAUGGAUUUAGAGAUUACAAGUAACAUAGAUUCAUCUAUUAAAUGUUUACUCAAAUUCACUUUGUGAACUAAAAAAUUCUUUUGUACUGCAAGUCCGCAGGUGCAAACUAAAAUAUUAAACUACUUUAUAUUUGCAAUUUAUCAACAAUAUUAGCAAGAGUUUUUCCAAUGUAAAAUCAUACGACAACAACAACAUACCCAGUAUACUCCCAACAUACCAAGGUCUGUGGAGGGCAAGUAAAGUGCACACAGUCCAUACCACUACCUCCAAAGAAUUAGAGAGACUGUUUCCGAUAGAUCCAUAGCUCGAGACAAAAGAAACAAUAAACAAAGCCAAAAUAAAACAUAAAACAAGAUGAAAUGAAAGAAAUAAGACACCAACAGAGCAACUAUACACUAUUUAACCAAAAGCACACACCACACCCAAACCUCCAAUCUAAGAGCAUAGCUCUACAAUUACUAGCAUGACUACACCAAAGCAAUUCUAUCUACUAGCUACAACACACUCCCACAAACUAGCCCUCUAACCUAAUUCGCGUACUUCAUACCUUCCUAUCUACGGUCAUGUCCUUAAUAAGCUGUAAUUGCUCAAUGUCAUGUCCAAUCACCUCCCUCCAUUGUAAAUUCAUGCAAAGUACAUAUGUUGAUGAUCCAAGUUUUUAACACUAUUCUCCCGUAUGGGCAAAUACAACUAGCCAAAAUGCUAAUUGGAAUUAUUCUCCACUUGUGCUAUAAUUCAACAAAAAAGAGCUUAACAUACCCUUGACCAAUUCAAAUUGGGACAAAAUUACCCUCCAUCACAUCUAUUAGACCUCAAAUAUUCAUUAAUAUUAUUAGAAAUCAUAAUUUGUAAAACAAUCAGCAUACAAAAUGCUUAGGAACAGAGAAAUAACAAAGCUGCUCAGAUAUUGCAAUUAACUAAUCAUGUAUUUAACAUAAGUCCAGACAUAAUUUUAGCAAAUUCAUCACUGCAACCAGAUAAAACUACAAAACUUAAUUAAUAAAUACCAAAAUUUGUUAGUAAUAAAUAAGAGUAGCAAUCAACUCUCAGAGAAAUUCCAUAAAUGGAAGUUUGUGCAGACAAUCAACAUGGCAUCGUUUGAAUCGUGUGAAAUGUACAAGCACAUACUUUAAUGGAGGUCCACUAGAGAAACGCACGAACUACUUACAUCGCAUUUGUUUCUCUGAAUUAAAGAGUGUACAGAUAGAGCAGCAAGAAUCUGCAGUCAUGGGUGGCUGUCUUUCUGUACUCGAUGUUCUUCAACAAUUCUACUCUCCUGCAGCAUAUCUGCUUUUGAUGCCUUCAGCACUAGUCCUAUCCCAAACACUUUCUUCUUCUGCUUUAUUCUCAGUUGGUGUUUUCUUUGGAACAAGCUGUCCCACCUGGGCAUACUUGUCCAUAAAUUUAUAUUCCCAGUCUUGCAGAAUUUCAAGUUGAGCAUCACUUAGGCCUUCAAGGUUCCCAUUAAUAUCUUCAGGUUUGAAUGAUAACUGAGCUAAGGCUCGGCUUGCAUCUCUUCCAGCAAACAUUGCAUAUGAACCACCAGGACCAUAGAACAUCUUGGAGGUAGAGACAUCGUAGAUCUUUCCUUUGAUAGCCAUCAACAAUGGUUUUUCUGAGUCAGAGCCAUUAUAAGCUCUAAGUUCCUCUUCCGUCAUGUUGCCGAGGUGGAGAGGCUGUCUUUUGAUGGGAACAAAGUCAUCAGCAGAGAAGAACAUGCCACAAACAACUUUGUAAGUCACAACCAUCAACGCUACAAUGGUGAAGAACGCUGUCGGCCAUAACCCCGUGUACUGCAAGAUGAUCUCAGUCAUUG